CAUGGCGCCGCCGCGGGAAUUCGAAUUUCCGGUUGAUCCCGCCGGACCUGACUGCUAUCGGAUUGAUACUAAGCCUUGCGAGUCUUUGUAGUAAUACAAGGCAGACGGCUCAGUAACACGUAGUCAAUCUACCCUAUGGACAGGGAUAACCUCGGGAAACUGAGAAUAAUACCUGAUAGAUCAUUAUGCCUGGAAUGGUUUAUGGUCGAAAUGAUUUAUCGCCGUAGGAUGGGACUGCGGUCUAUCAGCUUGUUGGUGAGGUAAUGGCCCACCAAGGCUAUAACAGAUACGGGCUCUGAGAGGAGAAGCCCGGAGAUGGGUACUGAGACACGGACCCAGGCCCUAUGGGGCGCAGCAGGCGAGAAAACUUUGCAAUGUGCGAAAGCACGACAAGGUUAAUCCGAGUGUUUUCUGCUAAAGAAAUCUUUUGUCAGUCCUAAAAACACUGAUGAAUAAGGGGUGGGCAAGUUCUGGUGUCAGCCGCCGCGGUAAAACCAGCACCUCAAGUGGUCAGGAGGAUUAUUGGGCCUAAAGCAUCCGUAGCCGGCUCUGUAAGUUUUCGGUUAAAUCUAUACGCUCAACGUAUAGGCUGCCGGGAAUACUGCAAAGCUAGGGAGUGGGAGAGGUAGACGGUACUCGGUAGGAAGGGGUAAAAUCCUUUGAUCUAUUGAUGACCACCUGUGGCGAAGGCGGUCUACUAGAACACGUCCGACGGUGAGGGAUGAAAGCUGGGGGAGCAAACCGGAUUAGAUACCCGGGUAGUCCCAGCUGUAAACUAUGCAAACUCAGUGAUGCACUGGCUUGUGGCCAGUGCAGUGCCGCAGGGAAGCCGUUAAGUUUGCCGCCUGGGAAGUACGUACGCAAGUAUGAAACUUAAAGGAAUUGGCGGGGGAGCACCACAAGGGGUGAAGCCUG
rnacentral:rRNA from 1 species